rnacentral:misc_RNA from 1 species
AACGCACGAGACCUGCGGACCUGCGGAAGGAUCAUUACUGAGUGAGGGCCCUCUGGGUCCAACCUCCCACCCGUGUUUAACGAACCUUGUUGCUUCGGCGGGCCCGCCUCACGGCCGCCGGGGGGCAUCCGCCCCCGGGCCCGCGCCCGCCGAAGCCACCUGUGAACGCUGUCUGAAGUUGCAGUCUGAGAAAAUUAUUAAAUUAAUUAAAACUUUUAGCAACGGAUCUCUAGAUCGGAA